UCCGGUGGUUCUGAAUGGAAGGGCCAUCGCUCAACGGAUAAAAGGUACUCCGGGGAUAACAGGCUGAUACCGCCCAAGAGUUCAUAUCGACGGCGGUGUUUGGCACCUCGAUGUCGGCUCAUCACAUCCUGGGGCUGAAGUAGGUCCCAAGGGUAUGGCUGUUCGCCAUUUAAAGUGGUACGCGAGCUGGGUUUAGAACGUCGUGAGACAGUUCGGUCCCUAUCUGCCGUGGGCGCUGGAGAACUGAGGGGGGCUGCUCCUAGUACGAGAGGACCGGAGUGGACGCAUCACUGGUGUUCGGGUUGUCAUGCCAAUGGCACUGCCCGGUAGCUAAAUGCGGAAGAGAUAAGUGCUGAAAGCAUCUAAGCACGAAACUUGCCCCGAGAUGAGUUCUCCCUGACUCCUUGAG
rnacentral:rRNA from 1 species